rnacentral:misc_RNA from 1 species
UAUGGGAUACAACUUCUCGACGCAUAUUAUAUAAGCUUCCUGGCCACACUGGGUCUGUCAACGAGUGUGUCUUCCACCCUACUGAGCCUAUUGUCGGAUCUUGCAGUAGUGAUAAGCAGAUUUAUCUUGGGGAGAUCUAAUUACCAUGGUAUCAGUGCUCGAAACUAAAUUAAUGUUAGCAAUGAGAAUAUUUUGGAGGCUUAUGGCCUAUUUAUCUUUACCCUGCAAAUUUGUUGAAUAGAUUGCAUGCCUCCUGUAGUUUUUUUGGCCGAAUUUGAU